GCAGAAGUACAGGUGGUGAAUAACAUUGCCGAACUGUUGUCUACAACUACAGCAGCAUAUGGAUUGAAUGCUUUUAGAGAUACUAAAAUGGACAUACGAUAGAGAACAACUGCUACAACUGUUGCAAGAGCUAAAGCGAUCUACAAAACAAAGAAUAUUGAAUCGUAUUGCUGGUGUGAAGAAAAAGGGGGAAUCGACAUCAAACCUGCAAAAUUAUUUUCAGUUAAUAACCAGAUUGAUACUAAAAAUUGGAGAAAAAUGAAAACCGAGGAAAGAUAAAUAAUCAACGAGUAUUUUAAAUUAAAUUGAUCAUAGAUCUUAACAAAAUUACUUCACAAUGGAAAACUAGGUCUUCCUUCGGUUUUUUUGUGCCCAGAGUUGGGUAUUCUGGUGAAUUCAGAUAUUUUUCUUCUUAAGAUGACAGGAGGCCUCAAGUUCAUUGGUUGAAGUUUUGAAUAAAAAUUAAAGAACUAGAUCUCUUCCUAAUUUCAUUACAAAUUUGUAUCGAUUCAAGGUUGCUUCUAGAUUGGGAUUGAUAACUAAAAAGCCGUUUAUUGAAGCUCAUCAACUACAUCUAAUCUAUCUUUAAGUAUUCCUUAUCUCUACUAUAAAUGGCAGUAAACCGAUGCUCUUUAUCAGGGAAAGUACUUUCAUCAAUGGUUAUAUAAGAUUUUAAUUUGUCCCAACGACUACUUAUAUUAUCUAUGAAAAAAUUUGUUCGUCUUGAUAUUUGCCGAAGGGCUGGAAUCUAAAAAAAUAAGAUGAAAUGAAAAGAGUCUACCACACAUGAAAAAAAAAAAAAAAUUAAGUACCUUUUGACCGAUACUAGCAAAAACGUUGUAACUGUCAGAUUCCUUGGGUUCCUUACAUAAUUCCUGAACAAAAAUAUAAUAAUA